UGCCUGUGAUGAGUUGCCAUGCUAAUACCGACGCAGCAGUGAAGAGCCAUGUGCUCCAUGCUGGCAGCGGCUGAGUGUAACUGACAUACUGAGGCUG